GUGAGUCAUCGAAUCUUUGAACGCACAUUGCGCCCUUUGGCAUUCCGAAGGGCAUGCCCGUUCGAGCGUCAUUUCACCAAUCAAGCCUGGCUUGGUGUUGGGCCCCGGGGGUGACCCGGGCCUCAAUGUCCCCUCGGCCGGACGACCCGGAUCCCAGCGAUGGACCUACAAACACGCUGGUCGAGCCGGUGGGCCGCGCCGUGAACGACAACGUUCUGCGGAACGAAAGGUUGACCUCGGAUCGGGUAGGGAUACCCGCUGAACUUAAGCAUAUCAAUAAGCGGAGGA
rnacentral:misc_RNA from 1 species